rnacentral:rRNA from 1 species
UACGGGGGGGGGCAAGCGUUGUUCGGAAUUACUGGGCGUAAAGGGCUCGUAGGCGGCCAACUAAGUCAGACGUGAAAUCCCUCGGCUUAACCGGGGAACUGCGUCUGAUACUGGUUGGCUUGAAUCCGGGAGAGGGAUGUGGAAUUCCAGGUGUAGCGGUGAAAUGCGUAGAUAUCUGGAGGAACAUCGGUGGCGAAGGCGGCAUCCUGGACCGGUAUUGACGCUGAGGCGCGAAAGCCAGGGGAGCAAACGGG